UACGAAGGGGGCUAGCGUUGCUCGGAAUCACUGGGCGUAAAGCGCACGUAGGCGGCUUUCUAAGUCAGGGGUGAAAUCCUGGAGCUCAACUCCAGAACUGCCUUUGAUACUGGAGAGCUUGAGUCCGGGAGAGGUGAGUGGAACUCCGAGUGUAGAGGUGAAAUUCGUAGAGAUCCGGAAGAACACCGGUGGCGAAGGCGGUCUGCUGGGGUCGAACUGACGCUGAGGCGCGACAGCGUGGGGAGCAAACAGG
rnacentral:rRNA from 1 species